GACGAACGCUGGCGGCGUGCCUAAUACAUGCAAGUUGAGCGCUGAAGGUUGGUACUUGUACCAACUGGAUGAGCAGCGAACGGGUGAGUAACGCGUGGGGAAUCUGCCUUUGAGCGGGGGACAACAUUUGGAAACGAAUGCUAAUACCGCAUAAAAACUUUAAACACAAGUUUUAAGUUUGAAAGAUGCAAUUGCAUCACUCAAAGAUGAUCCCUCGUUGUAUUAGCUAGUUGGUGAGGUAAAGGCUCACCAAGGAGAUGAUACAUAGCCGACCUGAGAGGGUGAUCGGCCACAUUGGGACUGAGACACGGCCCAAACUCCUACGGGAGGCAGCAGUAGGGAAUCUUCGGCAAUGGACGAAAGUCUGACCGAGCAACGCCGCGUGAGUGAAGAAGGUUUUCGGAUCGUAAAACUCUGUUGGUAGAGAAGAACGUUGGUGAGAGUGGAAAGCUCAUCAAGUGACGGUAACUACCCAGAAAGGGACGGCUAACUACGUG
rnacentral:rRNA from 1 species